CAGAACACAGAGGUCUGGAGCU
rnacentral:misc_RNA from 1 species